ensembl:lncRNA
UGGCUUAGGGUUCCUCAAAUGAAUGUUUACUCCAUUUUGGGCUUGUAUUGUGUGCAGCCUCCCUUUUCUCCAGGCUGGACAUUUUCAUAGCGUCUCUCUCUCUCUCUCUCUCUCUCUCUCUCUCUCUCUCUCUCGCUCUCGUACUCGCUCUAUCCCCCCCUCUCUUUUUAUCUCUCUCUUUCACUCUCGUUCUCUUUUUUUACUGUGCUCCUUGUUUCCUCAGUUCAAAUGCAGCCAUCUGCCACAUCUAGGGCAGCUGUUGCUGAACAGGAAAGGAUCGCCUCAGCGGUGCACACUGGGUGCUGUAGUCCCUGGAGCAACAUAGCCAUCUACCUACACUCAACAUAGCCCAGCCCCAUCGUGUCCCAUCUCCACUCAACAUAGCCCAGCCCCAUCAUGUCCCAUCUCCACUCAACAUAGCCCAGCCCCAUUGUGCUCGUGUCCCAUCUCUCUCCCUCUCUCUGUUCUAAAGGCAUCUCCACGGUGACCAGCUUGUGUCCCAUCUCUCUCUCCCUCUCGGUUCUAAAAGCAUCUCCACGGUGACCAGCUCGUGUCCCAUCUCUCUCUCCCUCUCGGUUCUAAAGGCAUCUCCACGGCGACCAGCUCAUGUCCCAUCCCUCCCUCUCGGUUCUAAAGGCAUCUCCAUGGUGACCAGCUUGUGUCCCAUCUCUCUCUCCCUCUCAGUUCUAAAGGCAUCUCCACGGCGACCAGCUUGUGUCCCCUCUCUCUCUCCCUCUCGGUUCUAAAGGCAUCUACACUGUGCUCGUGUCCCAUCUCUCUCUCCCUCUCUGUUCUAAAGGCAUCUCCACGGUGACCAGCUUGUGUCCCAUCUCUCUCUCCCUCUCUGUUCUAAAGGCAUCUCCACGGUGACCAGCUUGUGUCCCAUCUCUCUCUCCCUCUCUGUUCUAAAGGCAUCUCCACGGUGACCAGCUUGUGUCCCAUCUCUAUCUCCCUCUCAGUUCUAAAAGCAUCUCCACGGUGACCAGCUUGUGUCCCCUCUCUCUCUCCCUCUCUGUUCUAAAGGCAUCUCCACGGUGACCAGCUUGUGUCCCAUCUCUCUCUCCCUCUCUGUUCUAAAGGCAUCUCCACGGCGACCAGCUCGUGUCCCAUCUCUCUCUCCCUCUCGGUUCUAAAGGCAUCUCCACUGCGACCAGCUCAUUUGGGCUCAGAUGGGUGACUUGUGCUCGUAUUGGUUCCAGUAAUCCAUCUGUGGCUAAAAGAAAGGGAUGGCCUGCAGGGGAAUAAAGGAGAAAAGAGAGAAGAGGAGGCAAGAGGAGAAAGAGAAAGAUAGAGAGAGGGGGGGAGAAAGAGAUAGAUAUAGAGAAAUCAUGGAGGCAACCAAACGUAGAGUGUUGGAUAAAGAGAGACAGAUAUUGUGUAGACAGAAUGAAAUAGACCUUAAUGUAAUUCCAGACUCCCCAUAUCAUCCACUUGUCUCAUGAGGAGAGCUGAGCGUGUUUGCCUCCCGUGUUCUCCCCUGAGGAGAGUAUGAGAGCUGAGCGUGUUUGAGCUGUGCGUGUUUGCCUCCCGUGUUCUCCCCUGAGGGGGAGUGUGCACUCUGAUUGGGGAAUCGGUUUGUGUGUCACAUCCAGCGGCUGAUUUAAUCGCCGGCGGAGUUGACGGCCCUCAUUUCCGUGCUUGUAGAAAUAACACCCGACCGCGAACGAUAAUUGCUCCUAAUUGAAAUGUCUUUAGCUGCAGCUCACUGGAAUCUAAUGAGACGCAUCAGAUGAUGAAAACAAGGAAAGGGUGCAUCGG